CGUUCUGUAAGCCUGUGAAGGUGGCCUGUGAGGGUUGCUGGAGGUAUCAGAAGUGCGAAUGCUGACAUAAGUAACGAUAAAGCGGGUGAAAAGCCCGCUCGCCGGAAGACCAAGGGUUCCUGUCCAACGUUAAUCGGGGCAGGGUGAGUCGACCCCUAAGGCGAGGCCGAAAGGCGUAGUCGAUGGGAAACAGGUUAAUAUUCCUGUACUUGGUGUUACUGCGAAGGGGGGACGGAGAAGGCUAUGUUGGCCGGGCGACGGUUGUCCCGGUUUAAGCGUGUAGGCUGGUUUUCCAGGCAAAUCCGGAAAAUCAAGGCUGAGGCGUGAUGACGAGGCACUACGGUGCUGAAGCGACAAAUGCCCUGCUUCCAGGAAAAGCCUCUAAGCAUCAGGUAACAUCAAAUCGUACCCCAAACCGACACAGGUGGUCAGGUAGAGAAUACCAAGGCGCUUGAGAGAACUCGGGUGAAGGAACUAGGCAAAAUGGUGCCGUAACUUCGGGAGAAGGCACGCUGAUAUGUAGGUGAAGCGACUUGCUCGUGGAGCUGAAAUCAGUCGAAGAUACCAGCUGGCUGCAACUGUUUAUUAAAAACACAGCACUGUGCAAACACGAAAGUGGACGUAUACGGUGUGACGCCUGCCCGGUGCCGGAAGGUUAAUUGAUGGGGUUAGCGGUAACGCGAAGCUCUUGAUCGAAGCCCCGGUAAACGGCGGCCGUAACUAUAACGGUCCUAAGGUAGCGAAAUUCCUUGUCGGGUAAGUUCCGACCUGCACGAAUGGCGUAAUGAUGGCCAGGCUGUCUCCACCCGAGACUCAGUGAAAUUGAACUCGCUGUGAAGAUGCAGUGUACCCGCGGCAAGACGGAAAGACCCCGUGAACCUUUACUAUAGCUUGACACUGAACAUUGAGCCUUGAUGUGUAGGAUAGGUGGGAGGCUUUGAAGUGUGGACGCCAGUCUGCAUGGAGCCGACCUUGAAAUACCACCCUUUAAUGUUUGAUGUUCUAACGUGGGCCCCUUACCGGGGUUGCGGACAGUGUCUGGUGGGUAGUUUGACUGGGGCGGUCUCCUCCUAAAGAGUAACGGAGGAGCACGAAGGUUGGCUAAUCCUGGUCGGACAUCAGGAGGUUAGUGCAAUGGCAUAAGCCAGCUUGACUGCGAGCGUGACGGCGCGAGCAGGUGCGAAAGCAGGUCAUAGUGAUCCGGUGGUUCUGAAUGGAAGGGCCAUCGCUCAACGGAUAAAAGGUACUCCGGGGAUAACAGGCUGAUACCGCCCAAGAGUUCAUAUCGACGGCGGUGUUUGGCACCUCGAUGUCGGCUCAUCACAUCCUGGGGCUGAAGUAGGUCCCAAGGGUAUGGCUGUUCGCCAUUUAAAGUGGUACGCGAGCUGGGUUUAGAACGUCGUGAGACAGUUCGGUCCCUAUCUGCCGUGGGCGCUGGAGAACUGAGGGGGGCUGCUCCUAGUACGAGAGGACCGGAGUGGACGCAUCACUGGUGUUCGGGUUGUCAUGCCAAUGGCACUGCCCGGUAGCUAAAUGCGGAAGAGAUAAGUGCUGAAAGCAUCUAAGCACGAAACUUGCCCCGAGAUGAGUUCUCCCUGACUCCUUGAGAGUCCUGAAGGAACGUUGAAGACGACGACGUUGAUAGGCCGGGUGUGUAAGCGCAGCGAUGCGUUGAGCUAACCGGUACUAAUGAACCGUGAGGCUUAACCUU
rnacentral:rRNA from 1 species